rnacentral:rRNA from 1 species
UACGUAGGGUCCGAGCGUUGUCCGGAAUUAUUGGGCGUAAAGAGCUCGUAGGCGGUCUGUCGCGUCGGCUGUGAAAACCCGGGGCUCAACUCCGGGCCUGCAGUCGAUACGGGCAGACUAGAGUUCGGUAGGGGAGACUGGAAUUCCUGGUGUAGCGGUGAAAUGCGCAGAUAUCAGGAGGAACACCGGUGGCGAAGGCGGGUCUCUGGGCCGAAACUGACGCUGAGACGCGAAAGCGUGGGGAGCGAACAGG